CAGCAGCCCCUGCCACCACGGUGACUGUGUCAACAUCCCCGGCACCUACCACUGCCGGUGCUACCCGGGCUUCCAGGCCAUGCCCACCAGGCAGGCAUGCGUGGAUGUGGACGAGUGCAUUGUCAGUGGUGGCCUUUGUCACCUGGGCCGCUGUGUCAACACAGAGGGCAGCUUCCAGUGUGUCUGCAAUGCAGGCUUCGAGCUCAGCCCUGACGGCAAGAACUGUG
rnacentral:lncRNA from 1 species